rnacentral:rRNA from 1 species
AGUGAACGCUGGCGGUAGGCCUGACACAUGCAAGUCGAACGGCAGCACAGUAAGAGCUUGCUCUUACGGGUGGCGAGUGGCGGACGGGUGAGGAAUACAUCGGAAUCUACUUUUUCGUGGGGGAUAACGUAGGGAAACUUACGCUAAUACCGCAUACGACCUACGGGUGAAAGCAGGGGAUCUUCGGACCUUGCGCGAUUGAAUGAGCCGAUGUCGGAUUAGCUAGUUGGCGGGGUAAAGGCCCACCAAGGCGACGAUCCGUAGCUGGUCUGAGAGGAUGAUCAGCCACACUGGAACUGAGCCACGGUCCAGACUCCUACGGUAGGCAGCAGUGGGGAAUAUUGGACAAUGGGCGCAAGCCUGAUCCAGCCAUACCGCGUGGGUGAAGAAGGCCUUCGGGUUGUAAAGCCCUUUUGUUGGGAAAGAAAAGCAGCAGGUUAAUACCCCGCUGUUCUGACGGUACCCAAAGAAUAAGCACCGGCUAACUUCGUG